rnacentral:rRNA from 1 species
AAGCUCGUAGUUGAAUUUCGGGAUCAGACUGUCGGUCGUGCCUCGGUACGCACUGGCAUUAUUGGUUCCUACCUUCUGAAGAACCGCGAUGUCAUUAAUUUGGUGUCGCGGGGAAUCAGGACUGUUACUUUGAAAAAAUUAGAGUGUUUAAAGCAGGCUUACGCUUGAAUGCAUUAGCAUGGAAUAAUGAAAUAGGACGUUUGAUUCUAUUUUGUUGGUUUCUAGGAUCGACGUAAUGAUUAAUGGGAUAGUUGGG